rnacentral:rRNA from 1 species
CAGUAGCCACGGGAAUACGUAGGUGGCAAGCGUUGUCCGGAAUUAUUGGGCGUAAAGGGCUCGCAGGCGGUUUCUUAAGUUUGAUGUGGAAGCCCCCGGCUCAACCGGGGAGGGUCAUUGGAAACUGGGAAACUUGAGUGCAGAAGAGGAGAGUGGAAUUCCACGUGUAGCGGUGAAAUGCGUAGAGAUGUGGAGGAACACCAGUGGCGAAGGCGACUCUCUGGUCUGUAACUGACGCUGAGGAGCGAAAGCGUGGGGAGCGAACAGGAUUAGAUACCCCUGUAGUCCCUGUCUCUUAUAC